rnacentral:rRNA from 1 species
CAGUAGCCGCGGUAAUUCGUAGGUCCCGAGCGUUGUCCGGAUUUAUUGGGCGUAAAGCGAGCGCAGGCGGUUAGAUAAGUCUGAAGUUAAAGGCUGUGGCUUAACCAUAGUACGCUUUGGAAACUGUUUAACUUGAGUGCAAGAGGGGAGAGUGGAAUUCCAUGUGUAGCGGUGAAAUGCGUAGAUAUAUGGAGGAACACCGGUGGCGAAAGCGGCUCUCUGGCUUGUAACUGACGCUGAGGCUCGAAAGCGUGGGGAGCAAACAGGAUUAGAUACCCCGGUAGUCCCUGUCUCUUAUACC